UUCGCCCUUAGAGUUUGAUCCUGGCUCAGGACGAACGCUGGCGGCGCGCCUAACACAUGCAAGUCGAACGGAGUCAAGAGGAGCUUGCUUUUCUUGACUUAGUGGCGAACGGGUGAGUAACGCGUGAGUAACCUGCCCUGGAGUGGGGGACAACAGUUGGAAACGACUGCUAAUACCGCAUAAGCCCACGGAUCCGCAUGGAUCUGUGGGAAAAGGAUUUAUUCGCUUCAGGAUGGACUCGCGUCCAAUUAGCUAGUUGGUGAGGUAACGGCCCACCAAGGCGACGAUUGGUAGCCGGACUGAGAGGUUGAACGGCCACAUUGGGACUGAGACACGGCCCAGACUCCUACGGGAGGCAGCAGUGGGGGAUAUUGCACAAUGGGGGAAACCCUGAUGCAGCGACGCCGCGUGGAGGAAGAAGGUUUUCGGAUUGUAAACUCCUGUCGUUAGGGACGAUAAUGACGGUACCUAACAAGAAAGCACCGGCUAACUACGUGCCAGCAGCCGCGGUAAAACGUAGGGUGCAAGCGUUGUCCGGAAUUACUGGGUGUAAAGGGAGCGCAGGCGGACCGGCAAGUUGGAAGUGAAAACUAUGGGCUCAACCCAUAAAUUGCUUUCAAAACUGCUGGCCUUGAGUAGUGCAGAGGUAGGUGGAAUUCCCGGUGUAGCGGUGGAAUGCGUAGAUAUCGGGAGGAACACCAGUGGCGAAGGCGACCUACUGGGCACCAACUGACGCUGAGGCUCGAGAGCAUGGGUAGCAAACAGGAUUAGAUACCCUGGUAGUCCAUGCCGUAAACGAUGAUUACCUAGGUGUUGGAGGAUUGACCCCUUCAGUGCCGCAGUUAACACAAUAAGUAAUCCACCUGGGGAGUACGACCGCAAGGUUGAAACUCAAAGGAAUUGACGGGGGCCCGCACAAGCAGUGGAGUAUGUGGUUUAAUUCGAAGCAACGCGAAGAACCUUACCAGGUCUUGACAUCCGAUGCAUAGUGCAGAGAUGCAUGAAGUCCUUCGGGACAUCGAGACAGGUGGUGCAUGGUUGUCGUCAGCUCGUGUCGUGAGAUGUUGGGUUAAGUCCCGCAACGAGCGCAACCCUUAUUGCCAGUUACUACGAAAGAGGACUCUGGCGAGACUGCCGUUGACAAAACGGAGGAAGGUGGGGAUGACGUCAAAUCAUCAUGCCCUUUAUGACCUGGGCUACACACGUACUACAAUGGCGUUUAACAAAGAGAAGCAAGACCGCGAGGUGGAGCAAAACUCAAAAACAACGUCUCAGUUCAGAUUGCAGGCUGCAACUCGCCUGCAUGAAGUCGGAAUUGCUAGUAAUCGCGGAUCAGCAUGCCGCGGUGAAUACGUUCCCGGGCCUUGUACACACCGCCCGUCA
rnacentral:rRNA from 1 species